UGGCGUCGCUCCUCGCCGGGAGCCGCCGCCGCCGGGAGCCACCGGGCUGCGCGCCGCCGCCCCAGCCUCGCCUUCCCCCGGGGACGGCCGCUGCGCCCGCCCGGGCCAACACGGAGGCUCGGGCCGUCGGCCGCGGAGGCUCAGGCUGCGAGGCGAGGAGCCGCAGCCCGGUCUCUUGUGGCUUCGCUAAAUCCCUGACGCGCCGGGGAGGCUAAAAAGAUCGGAGGAGCAAGAGUUCUAGGGCGAGAGGUGGGUUCGCUCUCCCGUUUUCCGGUGUUUCACAUUACCGACCGUGAGGCACCGUGGGUGAUACGGACUUCAACAAAUGGAUAUUUUAUAUUUCCCAUUAAUACUCUUCGUAUUGUCUUCAAUUUAUUAGUAUAAGCUUUUUAAAAAAAUCCCCACCUGCCUGGUCUACUGGAAUCAUAGCUACUGUCACCCAGUCUUUUCUGUCAGAAAAAUUAAAUAAAACAGCUAUUCUGAAAAGUGGUGAUUUGCACUAACCAGAAGACAGUUGAUACUAAAGGACUCAAAGGUGCUAUUUAACAUGUUACUUUCAAUCUUUAUGACUACUUUUUCUAUUAAGUGACUUGUGUCCAACAAACAUGUAAGCGGAUAUGUGUACAAUUUCUAUUGGUACAAUAUGCUUUAAAACACAGAUACAUGGGUGUUUAAUGUUAUUAAUAACA